AUAUAUACAAUACUGAGAUACGACGUGAUAAGAUAUAGAAGUUAAU
rnacentral:guide_RNA from 1 species